UACGGAGGGUGCAAGCGUUGUCCGGAAUUACUGGGCGUAAAGCGUGUGCAGGCGGCUCGUUAUGUCGGGUGUGAAAUCCCUCGGCUCAACUGAGGAACUGCGCCCGAAACUGGCGAGCUUGAGUGCGGUAGGGGGAGGUGGAAUUCCCGGUGUAGAGGUGAAAUUCGUAGAUAUCGGGAAGAAUACCGGUGGCGAAGGCGACCUCCUGGCCCGUUACUGACGCUCAGACACGAAAGCGUGGGGAG
rnacentral:rRNA from 1 species